UGUUNAAAGUAUUAAUUUUAAAUAUAACCUGCUCAAUGUGGGAUCAACUCCCAUAAAUAGCCGCAGAAUAUUAACUGUGCUAAGGUAGCAUAAUCAUUUGCCUCUUAAUUGUAGACUAGAAUGAAAGGUAAAACAGUUUAUUUCCUUUUUUAAUAUUAAUUGAAUAAAAAUUAUACUAAGUAUAAAAAUAUACUUAUAACCUAAUUAGACGACAAGACCCUAUCGAACUUUACUUAAGUUUAGCUGGGACAGCUAAUUAAUUAAAAUUUUAAUUAAAUUUGUACAAAAAAUGAUCCAGCCCAACUGAUAAUUUGAUUAAGUUACCGUAGGGAUAACAGCGUAAUUUAUUUUUAAAGUUCUUAUUUAAAAAUAAGAUUGCGACCUCGAUGUUGAAUUAAUUUUCUUUUGCGAGCAAAAUCACAAACAGCAGGUCUGUUCGACCUUUAAAAUUUUACAU
rnacentral:rRNA from 1 species